rnacentral:rRNA from 1 species
AAGUUGAGCGGUAGAGGAGCGUUCUGUAAGCCUGUGAAGGUGAGUUGAGAAGCUCGCUGGAGGUAUCAGAAGUGCGAAUGCUGACAUGAGUAACGACAAUGCGAGUGAAAAACUCGCACGCCGAAAGACCAAGGGUUCCUGCGCAACGUUAAUCGACGCAGGGUGAGUCGGUCCCUAAGGCGAGGCUGAAGAGCGUAGUCGAUGGGAAACGGGUUAAUAUUCCCGUACUUCUAGUUACUGCGAUGGGGGGACGGAGAAGGCUAGGCCAGCAAGGCGUUGGUUGUCCUUGUUUAAGGUGGUAGGCAGAGAUCUUAGGUAAAUCCGGGAUCUUAAUGCCGAGAGCUGAUGACGAGCUUUCUUUUAGAAAGCGAAGUGGUUGAUGCCAUGCUUCCAGGAAAAGCCUCUAAGCUUCAGGUAACUAGGAACCGUACCCCAAACCGACACAGGUGGUUGGGUAGAGAAUACCAAGGCGCUUGAGAGAACUCGGGUGAAGGAACUAGGCAAAAUGGCACCGUAACUUCGGGAGAAGGUGCGCCGGUGAGGGUGAAGUAUUUACUACGUAAGCCCAUGCCGGUCGAAGAUACCAGGCCGCUGCGACUGUUUAUUAAAAACACAGCACUCUGCAAACACGAAAGUGGACGUAUAGGGUGUGACGCCUGCCCGGUGCCGGAAGGUUAAUUGAUGGGGUUAGCGCAAGCGAAGCUCUUGAUCGAAGCCCC